rnacentral:tRNA from 1 species
GGUCGGCGCGCUGUGGGAGAAGUUGGCGGACGGCGCCACGGUCGUCGAGGCCUACGGCCCGGCGCAGUGGGCGCCGGCGUUCGGGAUGCUGACCGACCGC